rnacentral:rRNA from 1 species
GACGAACGCUGGCGGCGUGCUUAACACAUGCAAGUCGAACGGAAAGGCCCUGCUUUUGUUGCUUUCUCGAUUGGCGAACGGGUGAGUAACACGUGAGUAACCUGCCCUUGACUUUGUGAUAACUUCAGGAAACUGGGGCUAAUACCGGAUAUGAGCUCCUGCUGCAUGUUGUUGGUUGGAAAGUUUCGGCGGUUGUGUAUGUACUCGCGGCUUAUCAGCUUGUUGGGCGGGUAGCGGCUUACAAAGGAUUUGACGGGUAGCCGGCCUGAGAGGGUGACAGGGCACAUAGGGCCUGAGGUACGGCCCAGAGUCAUACGGGAGGCAGCAGUGGGGAAUAUUGCAAGAUGCGCGGAAGCAUGAUGCAGGAACGCCGCGUGGGGGAUGACGGCUUUUGGGUUGUAACAAGCUUUCGAGUGUGAAGAAGCGUCAGUGCCGGUACUGGGUAAAGAAGCACCGGCUAAUUCCGU